AUUGAACGCUGGCGGCAGGCCUAACACAUGCAAGUCGAGCGAGCGACGGGCGGGUGAUGAAUGUCUGGGAACCUGCCUGAUGGGGGUGGAGACCGGCUAGAAACGGUAGCUAAUACCGCAUCCCAUCGGGUGUGCCCAGGUGGGAUUAGCUAGUAGGGUGGGUACCGGCUCACAAGGGCGACGAUCCCUAGCUGGUCUGAGAGGUUGACCAGCCACACGGGAACUGAGACACGGUCCAGACUCCUACGGGAGGCAGCAGUGGGGAAUAUUGCACAAUGGGCGCAAGCCUGAUGCAGCCAUGCCGCGUGUGUGAAGAAGGCCUUCGGGUUGUAAAGCACUUUCAGCUGGGAGGCGUUACCCGCAGAAGAAGCACCGGCUAACUCCGUGCCAGCAGCCGCGGUAAUAC
rnacentral:rRNA from 1 species